ACAGACAUGCGGGUUUUGUUGAGAAGGACAAAUGUAAAGAUGAGAUCUAGAUGGCAUCUGAAACAGCAUUCUCCUGAUGACUCAGUAAUGAGGUGCCCAUGCACUAGGGCUUAGAAACUGUUUUUGGUGCUCAGUCAGUGAGACUGUACUUCUAGGCUGAACCCUGCUUGUAACUUAAACCGGUUCUUGUUAGCUGCUCUGAGUCUCCAGGGCUCUUAUUAUGAAGUGAAGAUCAUUGCUUCUCACACCUGCAAGAGCAGUAGUGAAUGAAUGGCUGAGCCACCUCUCCCGCCCCAGUGCCAGCUCAUCCUGAAGGCUCCUCCGUGCACACCAGGUUGUUCCUGUCACUGUUCUGUCUCAUUGAUGAGGGAAGAAACAGAGACCUUGGUGCGGAAUGGCUACUGUUGUGUUCUCUGCUGGUGUCCGGGUAUGACGGGCUGGCUUCCUCUUCGGUGGAUCCUCUGACCAGCUAGAGCCGGAGCCGAAUGACUGGCCGGGAUUAAUACCAGGUCAUAAACAACCUCUCACUUCCCCUCCCCCUGGGCCGCCCCAAGGCCCGGCCUGCUGCCGCCGCGUGGGCCUGCGCGGUCCCGUAUCCUUCGUCAGUUCACCCUUCUCGGCCCUGCACUCUUAAUCACGACACAGAGCCCUCACCCACAGGUUGGGGGCGGCUUCCACUUCCCUUCUCCCGACCCUGUCACGGUGCACAGCCAAAAGGCCGGACGCCCUGACACACACGCCUACAGCCCGCUGCCGCCCUACGCGCGCUGACGCAGUCCCCGGCCCAACCCGCGGUGCUUCCGCGGCCUGUCCCCGCCCCUUCCCGGAGCCCGCCUCCCGGCUGCGGGCCUCGGGCCGUCCGCCUCCCCUUGCGCUGGUUCCAGCGUGCACCCGCUGCCCCGCCUCUGCGCGUGCUCAAUAACUGUCCUCUCAGUCGGCCUGCAGGCUUCCCCCGCCCCUGAGCUGUUUGAAUAUGCUAAUGAGGCUGUAAGGACCAGCCAAUAGGGCAGAGGGUCUCUGGAUCACAUGACUCGAGUACGUGUCAGGGGCGGAGCCUACGUAGCCCCUGCCCGAGUUAAAACCGGAGUGUGAGAGAGAAAAGCGCUUCAGUAGCGAGAGGGGCUGAGAAAGUGGUGACACCGCUGGGGUGCGGAGGGAGUCUCUCAAACUUCUCUCAACAGCCCCAGGGCCAAUCUCCCCUCAGCCCACUCCCCUGUUCGCCAGAUCCCUGGUCCCCACUCCCUGCACUGGGGGUGGGGUGGGGAACUGGGCCCGUCUCCCGCGGGGACACACACAGGGGCCGGGAGUGGGGACGGGACCCCCAGGCCGGGGGGGACGGACGGACAGACGGCCGCGCGGCCGCCCCAGCGGGCAGGCAGGCCGGAGGCGGGGGUACGGCCGGGUGGACCUGGGCUGGGGAGUUUCCUCUCAACUAUCGGGGGAGAAACUCCCCAUAGCCGGUGUUUUCCUCCCGGGGGCCGCGUUCCCCGCCCCGCAUAUCGGCGGUUGCCGCCGCCGCUGGUGCCUCCACCUCUGCCAUCUCUUCACCACCUCGGGCCCCGGUGUCCCCGGCCAGCACUAUGCCCAUCUUACUGUUCCUGAUAGACACGUCUGCCUCUAUGAACCAGCGCAGCCAUCUGGGCACCACCUACCUGGACACGGCCAAAGGCGCGGUAGAGACCUUCAUGAAGCUCCGUGCCCGGGACCCUGCCAGCAGAGGAGACAGGUAUAUGCUGGUCACUUUCGAAGAGCCGCCCUAUGCUAUCAAGGCUGGAUGGAAAGAAAACCAUGCAACGUUUAUGAAUGAACUGAAAAACCUUCAGGCAGAAGGACUUACGACUCUUGGCCAAUCCCUAAGGACAGCUUUUGAUUUGUUAAAUUUAAAUAGAUUAGUAACUGGCAUAGACAACUAUGGGCAGGGAAGAAACCCUUUUUUCUUGGAGCCAGCAAUAAUUAUUACAAUCACUGAUGGGAGCAAGUUGACGACUACUAGUGGUGUCCAAGAUGAGCUCCAUUUACCUCUUAAUUCACCUUUGCCUGGAAGUGAACUGACCAAGGAGCCUUUUCGCUGGGAUCAGAGACUGUUUGCUUUAGUGCUGCGGCUGCCUGGCACUGUGUCAGUAGAAUCCGAGCAGUUGACAGGUGUGCCUUUGGAUGACUCUGCUAUCACACCCAUGUGUGAAGUGACAGGAGGCCGGUCAUACUCUGUAUGUUCUCCAAGAAUGCUUAAUCAGUGUCUGGAAUCCUUGGUGCAGAAAGUACAAAGUGGGGUGGUAAUAAACUUUGAAAAGGCAGGACCAGAUCCUUCCCCUGCCGAAGAUGGACAGCCAGAUAUAUCAAGACCUUUUGGAUCUCAGCCUUGGCAUAGCUGUCACAAACUCAUAUAUGUCAGGCCAAAUCCUAAAACUGGGGUUCCUAUAGGCCAUUGGCCUGUUCCAGAGUCUUUUUGGCCGGAUCAGAAUUCUCCCACACUACCACCUCGUACAUCUCAUCCUGUAGUGAAGUUUUCCUGUACAGACUGUGAGCCAAUGGUUAUUGACAAAUUGCCUUUUGACAAAUAUGAGUUGGAACCUUCACCACUGACUCAGUUUAUUCUAGAAAGGAAAUCUCCUCAAACAUGUUGGCAGGUGUAUGUGAGCAAUAGUGCAAAGUAUAAUGAACUCGGUCAUCCCUUUGGUUACUUGAAAGCUAGUACAGCACUGACCUGUGUCAACUUAUUUGUGAUGCCUUACAAUUACCCAGUCCUCCUUCCUCUCUUAGAUGACUUGUUCAAAGUGCACAAAGCAAAACCAACACUGAAAUGGAGACAGUCAUUUGAAAGUUAUUUGAAGACAAUGCCUCCCUACUAUCUUGGGCCUCUGAAGAAAGCUGUUAGAAUGAUGGGCGCACCUAAUCUGAUAGCAGACAGUAUGGAGUAUGGACUCAGCUACAGUGUCAUUUCAUACCUCAAAAAGUUGAGUCAGCAGGCCAAAAUAGAAUCUGAUAGAGUCAUCGGAUCCGUAGGCAAAAAAGUAGUGCAGGAAACUGGAAUUAAAGUCCGAAGCCGGUCACAUGGGUUGUCAAUGGCGCAUAGGAAAGGUUUUCAAGUGCUGCAGGGUAUUUCGGAGGAUGUUCCCCACAGGUUGCUAGACCUUAAUAUGAAGGAGUACACUGGGUUCCAGGUUGCUUUACUAAAUAAGGAUUUAAAGCCUCAGACCUUUAGAAAUGCUUAUGAUAUACCAAGACGGAAUCUUCUGGAUCAUUUAACAAGAAUGAGGUCUAACCUUUUAAAGAGCACCCGCAAAUUUCUUAAAGGCCAGGAUGAAGAUCAAGUGCACAGUGUACCUAUAGCACAAAUGGGGAAUUACCAGGAAUACCUCAAGCAAGUACCUUCUCCAUUGAGAGAGCUUGAUCCUGAUCAGCCUCGAAGGUUGCAUACGUUUGGCAAUCCCUUUAAACUGGAUAAAAAGGGUAUGAUGAUAGAUGAAGCAGAUGAGUUUGUGGCUGGACCUCAGAAUAAACACAAGCGGCCUGGAGAGCCAAGCAUGCAAGGGAUCCCGAAAAGGCGCCGGUGUGCCUCUCCACUCUUGAGAGGCCGAAGGCAGAGCCCUGCUGUGAACAGUCACAUCGGAGGGAAAGGACCACCUGCACCCAUGACGCAAGCACAGCCAGGUCUUAUUAAACCCCUUCCUCUGCAUAAAGAAGCCACUAAUGAUUCAGUAGUAGACGAUGUGGUUGAAAAUCAUGUUGCCGACCAACUUUCAUCAGACAUGACAACAAAUGCUAUGGAUACUGAAUUUUUAACCUCUCCAGCCAAUCUUUUGGAACCAUCAACUAAUCAUACAGAGGCCCUUGGUCAUGAACAUUUAGGAAACAAUGACCUCACUGUUGGUGGAUUUUUAGAAAAUCAUGAGGAGUCAAGAAGUAAAGAACAAAGUGCUGAAGAGAAUAUACCAGCAUCUUCACUCAACAAAGGAAAGAAAUUGAUGCAUUGUAGAAGCCAUGAAGAGGUCAACACUGAACUAAAAGCACAAAUAAUGAAAGAGAUCCGAAAACCAGGAAGAAAAUAUGAAAGAAUCUUCACUUUACUGAAGCAUGUGCAAGGCAGUUUACAAACAAGGCUAAUAUUUUUACAAAAUGUCAUUAAGGAAGCAUCCAGAUUUAAGAAGCGAAUGCUGAUAGAGCAACUGGAGAACUUCUUGGAUGAAAUUCAUCGGAGAGCCAAUCAGAUCAACCAUAUUAAUAGCAACUAAAGAAAAUAGAACGCGGCCACUUAUUUCAUUAUCUUCUCCAAAUACAAAAUUUGGCGUCCUUUCGCUGGACUGUGAACAGGAAGCCCUUGAUUUCCUCAGUUUUCCGAGGCAUGGUGACAGCAUUGGACUUGGACAACUGCACCCAAAACACUCACAGAGGAGAGAAACGAAGAGAGGAGACAGGGGAGCUAUAUCCCAUAUUUUUAAAAGAAAGCGAGGAAAUAUCCUUGGGAAACUUGUGCUUCAUGAUAACCAUCAGCCUCUUCAAGGAGGAGCAAGACUCACUUUGGGUGUGUGGGUUACGUAGUUGGAACAUUACUUGAGUGUUUCUGCAAAGGUUCUUGUGCUGGAAGCUUGGCUCUCUGGCUCAGAUGUACUGUCUUCUGGGGAGCCUCUGACCUGCUUGGUGGAAUCACAGAACCACGCAGCACCCACCCCCUCAUCUACAUGUGUGGCUCCCCCAGACAGAGUUGCCGCCUUCAGAGUUCUCCUCUUGUGCAUAAGACAAGUUCCUGACCAGCCAUGGUCUAUAUUGCAAGAGCACCACAAAGGAGCCUGUGGACGUGUACGCUGCUGUGGUAUAAGUGCUGAGAAUGACCAAGUUCUAAAAACUAUCUUUGGUUUCAGUUGUCCCUGCAGAGAACAAACCUAUCUGUUGUCCAUCAGGAUUGUAAGACCUGUUUCAACAGUGGUCAGAGUAUGCAUUGAGGAGGAUGGGCAGUUCAGGGGGCACUUGGUGCCAGACAUGUUGAGUGCUAACCUUGACUUGCUAGCUCAAGUGUCCAGAGGAAGUCAUAGCCAGGCUGAGUUGGCAUUAUUUCAUGUACCUUCUGACAAAUCUUAGUUCAUCCAAAGCCUACUCUCGUCAGUUUUAGUGAUGCUCAUUGUUUUGUUUUGAGAUGGGGUUCCUGCUACAUAACAGACUGCCUUGGAACUAAGAAAUCUUGCCUCACUCACCAACACUAAAUUUUAUAUUUACAUCUUAGUCCUUGAUUGAGAAGGGAAGGCCAUGUUUGCCUUAGCUGCAUCACGAGUGCAGGUUAAUGCUGCCUGAGCUGUGUUCUAAAGACUCUGCUGUUAGCAGAGCUGUUUUGAGAAAUACAAUAUGUAGAUAUAAGCUGGCAGAAACCUAAGAAUCAUGAAAAUAGGUUGGUCAAAAGCAUAGUCCUGGGUCGAAAGAGUUUACAUUUAAGCACAGCCCCUUAUUGAUUAUGUGAUUCCCAGCAAGUUGUCUCCACCCUCUGCCUAUCUGCUUCCCCAAAUAGGGGUGCCAAUGAAAUCAUCAACCUCAAAAGGGUUGUUGAGGCAAUCAGUGAAUGUUUAGAAGGUGUUUCCCACCCCUCCCAGCCACAGCAAGCAUUCUAAAAGGGGCAGUGACUCAAAACCAUCACACUGCCAUGAGGCUAGAAGGGAGUCCCCUCAAUCAAGAACAGCGCUGGUAAAAAUCUGAGUGCUUCAUGCAUGGCCCUGUCUCUUCCCCUGUGCACACUGGGAUCUUAGCUCCCCACUGAGAGCACCUGAGCAGGGUGGAACAGGGAGCAGGGCUGAGAGGAAGUGAGAGGGGAAGCCUCUUACCUUGCACAGUAUAUCCUAGGGCCUCUGCCAGCUGCCAGCCAGUGUUGCCCCUGGCUGCAAACUGCAGGAUCUCCAGGGAGAGGGAUACACUGGCUGGUGAGAUGACAAAGUUUGUCCCAUUUGUCUCUGCUGCUGCACUCUGGUAGAGGUGGAGGGCAAACUCAGUCUUCAGCAGCCACAGGCCUUCACUGAGGGGGCUGCCUCCUCCUGCUGAAAAGCAGGAGGAGAGAAGGAAGAGGGUGACCUGCAGGAGAGGCAGCAUGGUAGCCAGACACCUGCAGUUCAAAGGGAGGAGAAGCUGGUGACAUGGACGAGAGCAAGUCACCUGAGAACUGGGGCACCCAGCUCUGUUUUCAGAGCCCAAAGGACAGUCUUGCUACACUUCCUUGCUUACCCACCAUGAUCCUACCUCUCUAGGCUGCUUGGCUGGGCUGGGAUCCUUUUGAAAACUCAACCCCGUGCUGGAAGAUCUGCUCCUGUUACUGCAUGUGUGGCCUUGGAAAAGUCCUGGUUAUAGCAAAACAAAUCAUUAUGUUAGGAAAAGAAAUGCGAAAAGUGCAUCCUGUGGUUUCUUAGUACUUAGCCUGCUUACAGCUGGGCCAUGCUUCUCAUGAGUAAUUAUAGUACUAAUCAUGCUCAAAGUUCAUUUCUUUAUGCUAAAAAGAUUGUAUAUUCUUGGUUGAAAUUCCCAUAACCAUACUAGAUAUUGUAACUAUAGUCAUGGGGGCUGUGCUCUAGAGAGCUCAGUGACUCAUUGGUAUGGGAAGAGAACAGAGCUGUGACAGAUACCUGGCCUUUAAGAGUGUUACAUGAAAUAUCAAGACCGUAUAUGUAUGUUCAAAGAGUGAUGCAUGGGAUAACUGGGCCUAGAAUAGUAGACUCCAUGCUACGUAGUAGAUUAUUCCACAUAGAGUAGAACAAUAAUAAUAGAAAGUCCCUCCUCAGAACUGUGCCCUCCCAGGACGAGGGGCUACCACGAGUAAGAAAGGAAUGCCAGAAGGGAGCAAGAAGAGCAGAGCAGAGCACUUUUGUUGGCUGUGCCGACAGAGAGACGGUAGCAAUCUUUGCUAAGUGCUCCAACUGUGGAGCCAGGCUAGGUUGAUGGGAGAGGAAUGCCCAGUCAAAGCACCUCUUAUAUAAGUUUAUAAGCAAGGCCAUGGGCUCAGUGAUAUUCACUUUAAAUAAAGAUCCAAGAGAAAAAGCCAUGUUUCCCAGCUCUUCCCUUCAGGGCUGAACACAAAUGUACAUGACCUAGGAACCCAUGACGAGGGAAUUUGCAUGGGUAUGUAUGUCUAGAAAGAAAGUAGGCUUCAGUAUCAGAUCAUUAGUGAAAGCUUCAAGUCCUACUCUGAGAGCUCGUGCAGUUUCUGCCAGCUCCCAAGACAUGAACACUAGCAACCCUUAGCAAACAAACUCUGAUGCCCGGACUUCUGGUGACCCAGGUCCUGCCAUGACGACCAGGGAUGAGUUCUAUACUCACCGACUCGUUAAUCAAAUGGUAGUUUCCUUGUUUGAUUCUGUCCUUGUGCCUUGAGCAUCAACAUGCUGCCCUUUUUAAAAGAGUGGAGCAGAAUGUGCUCUGAAUCACAAGACAUCUCAGGGAGGAAGCUGGCAAUUGCCGUCUCUGCCGGCGAUGUCUCUACCACUCUGUCCAAAUUCCUGGAGCGUCGAAGUUCUGCAGGGAGCGAGGGGAAGCGACUCAGCUCCAGGCAGCAAAGCUGAGAUGAGAGCAGAGUACGCCUUCUAAGGCUUGUGACCUGGUUGUACCAGCAAGGAACCCUCCAUCUAACCCUUUAUGACUUUGAAGAAUUCCGAGAUAACUCUGGGUUUUGCUGGGUGCCAGGUACCUAAUGCCUCUCCCCUCCUCCUGGAAACAAAACAAUAGAUCAGUCUUUGAGCAUGACCUCAAACUUUCAGCAAGUUCAAUGCUGAAAAAGAAAAAGCAAGCAGUGAAAAGUCUGGUUCAAUCAGGUUAGAGCAAGACAGCUGGCUUUACCUGUUGUUAACAAAAGCAGGUAGGUGUACCUGCUGUGUAAUGUGAGCCCUAGAUUGGUCCUGAGAUUCAGUGCAACAAGUCCACCAUAAUAAUUGAAGAGAGAUCCCAUAGGGGUCCCUUUAACUUGACAAGUACUCACAGCCCUAUAAUCAAUCAGUGGGCAAGUCACUUUAAAGUUUAAUCAUAGAUAUUUAAUCCAGGAGUCUUAGGGGAGUUACAGUUUGGUAGCUGUUUCAUGUGAAAUCUCUCCAAACCUUGAAUUUUGAUGUAAAUUUACCAUUGUGUGUCUUGGACUCUAAGCCACAGUAUGGCAGGGGAAAGAAAUGUAUUUAAUUCCCAUUAAAGUACCCAGAGAGAGCAUUCCAUCCAUGCAUCUCAGAACUAGCUCCUGAUUGCCCGCUGGGUUCCAAGGCUCUGGACCAGUUGGGGGAAAUGUAGCACUGAAUCAGCAACCUGGGCUUCACUCUCACUGGACUCUUUCUCUGUGAGUGUGGACUUUAGAUGUUCAUACUGACAGUGCUAAACAGAAAGCUGCAGGAACUCCACGGGCUUCCUUGUGACACUUCAAGGUUCCUAAGGGUGGACUUACUUUAGCAAAGGUUGAUUAAGUAAUUGCCAAUAGUAGGAUGGAGAUAUGCCUGAAAAACAACGUCUGAAAUUGGGCAGUGUGGCUGUGUCACUUCCGUGAACAUGAUUUCCUAACUUUAUGAAUGUACAAUUCUAAACUGCUUUUGAAAGCAUUCUCAUGAAACAAUACCAGGGAAACUUAAAAUGCUAGAGUUAUUUCCCACAUGGAUUAAAUAUUUCAAUGUGUGGAUGAAUAAAAUAUGAAUAGCAACUGGUGUUGCUUUGGAGUGCUCGGCAGAAGCCAUCAUUGGUCUCCGACCAGUUAUAGAGAUUGCGUGGUGGCUUCCAUCUUGCCAGGAUGAAUAUUGGUUAUUUAUAUGGAUAUUGGUUAUUCAGAGCCAUAAUAACAAGCAAAGCAAAUGUUAUUGAAUAUAUCCGCUGUGUUUUACGAACUGUUACUUUCCACUCACAGCUGCAUAUUAUGUGACUUCCCAGGAGCUCACAUAUUAUCCCCAUUUCACAGAGGGAGAAACUAAGACAGAAGAACUCAAGAGUCUUGAGGCUUGAACCUAUAGCCCCCUGUUUUCACUCUCAGGCUUACGUUAUUUCCCAUAGUCUCAGUGGUGUCUGUUAAGGGGCCAAGACAUUGGGUCUUUUGAAUUCCCACGGGAUUCUAAGGCUUUUGAUAGUCUAUCCAGACUCUAUGGACUGGUGACAUGCUUCUAGACUGCUUUCAUUUCUCAGGGAUGCUCUGGUAAAGCACCUCUAGACGGACAAAGUGCAGCACUAUUAGAUUAUGAUGCUUCUCUUCAUUCCUUCUGGUCACCCUACCGAUACCUCCUUCAGACCCCACUCUCUCCCUUUGGGACUCACUCACUCUGAGCCUAUUCCCAACUUGGUACUUUCUAGCAAGCACAUGUAGUUGGAAGACACAAGCCAUUUCCACCUCUGGGUUCACCAGAGCCCUUGCCAACUGCCUGAAUGGGACCCUCUUACUGUCCUAUCCCAUCUUGAAAUCCAGAAUCAGUCCACACUAUCUCAGGGGAAACUUGGUCCAAGUUCCUUGAUCAGGCCACUGAAGGCAUCAAAUUGUAGUUGACAAGCAGAAGACCUGAAGAGAGUUGUAUUUAUACUCCAAAUACAAAUAAAUAAAACAAAACAAAACCAGAAGAAUCAACAUUCCCAACCCCUGUAUGAGUUAGCCUCCUGAACAGUGUAGUCAUUCCUGGUGAAACAAGAAGGUAAUUUGAAGGAAGAAAGGAAGGAAGGAAGGAAGGAAGGAAGGAAGGAAGGAAGGAAGACUCAACCAAUAAACUAACUUCAGAUGUUCAAAUCCCAACACAGAAAUAAAUCAAUAUGAAGCCCCAAAAGUAAUGACCCCCAUUGAAGAUGACCUGGAAGAACUCUAAGAUAAAAUUAAAAAUAACAAUUAAAAACUAUGGUCAAACACUCAAAGACAAAAAACCAAGUGAGGAAUGAAACAAGAUGUCCAAUCUGAGACAUGAAAACAGUUUGAAUUUUAAGAAAACUCAAACCGAAAUGAUUCUGAAAAUGAGAAACUCAAUAAGCCAAUUAAAAAUCUCCAAGAUAAGCCUCAACGAUGGAACGACCAUGUAGAAAAGAGAGUUGGGGAGAGAAACUGAGCAGAGGAGUCAGAUAGUUCAGUAAUGGCCAAUGAGAUAGAAGUAUGAGUAGAACAUGGAAAGGUUUGGGGUCCCAUGAAAAGACAAAAGCUUUGAAUUAUGCUCAUGAAGCAGGAAAGGAAACCGUGGUGGAGCCAGGAAAUAUCUUCAGGAAUAUCGUAGAAGAAAAAUUUCCAAAACUGGAAAGAGAAAUGCCAUUCAUCUUCAGAAGAAACACAUUCAUUUAGAAUGUGGAACAAACAAGGCCAAAAGGGAAUUCUCCAGGAUGCAUUACAACUAAAACAUUAAAAA